GUUUAAGCCCGAGGCAGAUUCAGAAAAUGCGUAUGAUCAAGUGGAACCAACUUUGCAAAGAUGACUUGAGCAGAAUGUUUCACAGUGUGAUGAACUAUCCUUCCACUAAAGCACAACAAGUUUGAAGUACCAUCUUCGGAUGAAACACAUUUUUGCUGAUGUUCACUAGCAAAGAUGCUAGGUGCUGAGACAGGGUUAACAAGCCGUGCUCAACAAACAACACUGGCAGAGUGCGG